GAUAGUGCACUAUUGCGGAGGCAUCCUGAACCUAAUAUGCGGAAGCUUAGAGAGUUUGAAGCUUUUUGUUGCAAGCAUGGGCUAGAAAUGGACACUUCUUCUGGUCACUUCCAUCAGUCGUUGGAGCACAUCAGAGAAAAGCUGAAGGAUGACAGUGUGUUGUUCGAUAUUGUGAUGUCUUAUGCUUCAAGACCAAUGCAGUUGGCAACCUACUUUUGCAGUGGUGUUAUGAAAGAUAAUAUCAAUGAUUGGGGUCAUUAUGCACUGGCUAUUCCUUUCUACACACAUUUUACUUCACCCUUGCGUCGAUAUCCAGAUAUAGUUGUACAUCGGACAUUGGCUGCAGCUAUUGAAGCAGAGGAAUUGUAUACAAGAAGUAGAAAAAUAUCACAUAAAGUGAGAUUGGGAGAGGAACUGACAAGAUUUUUCACUGGUAUUUACUUUGAUAAAGAUGCAGCAGAAUCCUCAGAAGGCAGGGAAGCAUUAUCAGCUGCAGCAAUCAAACAUAGAGUUCCCUGCACUGAAUUACUUGCGGGUGUUGCUGCUUACAGUAAUGAUAGAAAGCUGGCUAGUAGGCAUGUUAAAGAUGCCUGUGAUAAGCUAUGCAUGUGGGUUUUGCUGAAGAAGAAAGAGUUUUUAUUGUCAGAUGCUAGAGUUUUGGGUCUGGGGCCCAGGUUUAUGACCAUUUAUAUCCAAAAACUAGCUAUCGAACGAAGGAUAUAUUAUGAGGAAGUUGAAGGCUUGACAGUGGAAUGGCUUGAGGCUACAUCAACAUUGGUGCUAAAUUUGUGUGCCUACAAACGCAAAUUUAAAAGGGCUAGCCCUGGUAAUUACAGAGCACUUAAUGAGGUUGCAUGGGUCAUAAGUCCAUGUAACCUGAAUGCGGAAGCUGGCACAGUUGGAAGGUUUGCGAAUGAGUGCAAUGUUACACCUUCAGGCAAGAAUGGUUUGGCAUCCCGGCAUGUAGAUCCUGUUUCAGAGUCUGAGAUUGAGCCUGUUGUUUUCCCCCUCACUGUCCGUCUCCUUUCAACAAUUCCUGUUGCACUUCAUGCGGUUGGCGGGGAUGAUGGACCCAUUGAUAUUGGGGUGAGGCUAUAUGUGAGCUCAUAUUUUAGCUAAAUCAUGACACGUGAGCUUACAUUCGGAACCGUGAGUCCUAAGUUCUGCAAGUGAAUGAGCUCAUGGAGAUGAAGCCUAACAGAGCUGGUAAAGGUCUGUUGUAGAUAAGGAUUUAGUGCAUAGUAGAAAUAGUCAGAUAAAGAAAAUCUGUGGUUUGGAAUCGCGGAUAUUUUCCCAAGUCUGGAAGGUGUAGAUGUUGACGGGCCUUGUAGUUUUGGUGGCUGUUUUUAACGAAAGCUGCUGAAUGGAGUUGGCCCUUGUUUUUUUAAGGCCGGUUCCAUAGAUUAUAAAAAAAUUGGGCAGGGUUCGGAGCGAAUUUUUAUGAUUAUU
rnacentral:misc_RNA from 1 species